rnacentral:lncRNA from 1 species
GGAUUUGAAAAUUGUGGUACAGACUGUGGGAAGGUCAUGGCUCCUUUGAACAUCUCUGGCCACGAUAACCUGGCCCUGCGCACUCACUUGGAAAAGCAUGUGUUCAUGGAGAACGUCUUCUUCAGCUGAUGUUGCCAGAGGACUACUGGAUGUCUUGAGCCACACUGAUGAGGACAUCCUAGCAGUCCUGGAGGGAGCUGUCCGACUUUCAGAGGAUGCAGAGCCCACUGUGCCGACUGAGCUGAUGGGGCAGAUCCCUCCUCCCAGUACAUCCUGCCUGGUGGAGCUCGGUACCUUGAGGAUCCAGACAACCAGGUCAGAAAACCCAGCCAGGAAGCGCUACUGGCCCUUCUGGAGCAAGGUCUCAUUUCCCAGUGUGACAUUGAAGGCUAAGUAUGUCCUGCUCUGCUGGAGCGGUCUGCUCCCAGCCGUGAUGAUGAAUGCAGGAAGGAGGCCAUGAGCGUAAUCUGCAGAAUGGCGGCCAUGCUGACCAUGCACAGUUGAACGCCUGCUGCUGCCUUGAACUGUGUGGUGCCUGGAAACUCUUCCAAGUUUGGAAGGUGUGCACUGUGCAUUUUGGCGAUAUUUGUCAUCCUGUCUGUUGGACAAGAAGCCACUGAGAAGUUUUUGUACCAACAUUUUUUGAGCUCUGCUCAGAUAACAUGAAGAAAGCAUGUUCAGAGUGCUUCACAGCUGUGUCCCACACUUCCCCCUGUGGUCUGCAGAACCCAGCUCUCAACUGUGUUCAUCAAACUCCUCAGUGAUCCCCAUCGAUAGGUGUGCCAGGCCGCCUUCCAGUCAUUCUGCCCAAGCCAGGCUGCUCUGUACACUCUGGAGGAUGGCACCCCGAGCAUCAGGCCACUGAGCCAAGAAGUGGAGUCUAACUUUGCCUCUGGCUUACCCAGGCCCAGCAGCCACCUGUGCACACAGAGCCACAUGUACUUCCGGAAGGAGCUUCAGCUGAGAGCAGCCAUCUGCACAGCAGCUCUUCCACAGACACAACAGGAAACCAUCCAGGGAACCCUUCCUAAGCCAGGGCUGAAGUGAUGGGAAGUUCUUCAGGCGGCAGGUCCUUCCCAAAGCUCCUCAUAUCAGCCGCUGCCUCAGCAACAGUUACCCUGAAACAGAGCAGACACUACCGAGGGAGGGAGGGAGGGAGGGCGGGCGUGUGUGCUCAGUACUUGAUUGUAUGGGCUCACUCCUCUGCCUUAUAGAGCUAAGAUGUGGAGGUGCUUAGGGAGCCUGGGCCACUAGAAGGAAGCCACGUUGGGCCUGAGGCUGCAUGUGACAGUUAUGUGGCCAGGAGCAAGAUCCAGAAAGUCCUUCAGAAUUUGCAGGAACAUCUGCUGCAUGACCCAGACAUUCAUGGCUCAGGUAUUACCUGCCUGCCUGCCUGCCUGCCUGCCGCAUUGAGAGCGAGCAGCACAACCCUGCUCUGCUGGUGAACCCAAGAGCACGCAGACACACAGUCUGAAGGAAGAGCCUGUGUCAGAUCCCAGCCCAGCCUCUGACAAUCACAUCCUCCCGUCAGCUUCAUCAUCUCAGAAUGAGCUCUCCGCGGCCAGGAUAUUACAGAGCACAAUCCAGCUGAGCCUUCAAUUUGAACCAGUGACCGUCUGGAGACAGAACAGGGGCAAGAACAGACUGUGCUGGGAGAGAGUGAACCUAAAGUUCAGGGUCGCCUCAAGAUCUCCUGAUGAUGCCAAGGGCAGGCUUGAGCCCAGCCUCCUAGGCUGCUAGAGCGGAUGGUCCCCACGCUGACCCCUGUGCAUGGACUCUGCUCUCCAGACUCUCCUCUCUGGCAAGGCGUCGCUGGCUUUGGGGCAGCUGACUGCAGGUUACGGUCCCUCAGCCUCUGCUCCACUAGUUCAUUUCAUGACCCACCGAGAGCCCAGACUGUGGACACUGUCUUACCAAGCGCUGUGCGCAUAGCCUUCCUGGGCCUCCGCUGCCAGCACUAGCCCUGCCUGAAGGACACUUUGUGAAACGUUGGCUUCAGAUGUUCGGUGGAGUCUGCCUCACCCUUGCCUGCCUUCUCCAUUCAGGAACUGGCAGUGAUUCGCGGGGAUCAGCUGACAGCAGCCGACCUGGUGCCUAUCUUCAGUGGCUUCUUGAAGGAUCUGGUCAAAGUAUGUGUAGGGGUCCUUAAACACCUGUGGGACUUUUUUUGUUUGCUUCAUCAGGACAAGAGGAGAGUGCACCUCUGCCAGCUGCCGAGGUUGGUGGUGACUGACAGCAGCCCGAACUAGGGGUUUCCAUAUGGACUAGCAGACUGCUCCUGAUCUUGGAUCUGUAGACUUCAGCGACGUUAGCGGUUGCCUGAAACACGUUGCCCUGAAGUUGUGCACAAAGUUUUUCGAGUGCGCUGCAUUUCAUUCAAUCUAGGUGGUGGUGAUGCUGCAGAAGUUCUGCUGCCGCGGUGCCUGUGCUCUGGGGCUCAUUUCCAUCCAGGAGCGCAUCUCUGGAUUCUGGCACUGCCCUGAGUGGGCUGGAAGGCAGGUUUUUGCUUGCAUCUGCCGGGCUGUGGUGAGUGAAGGGUCUGUUCCUAUGGACCAGUCUGUGGGACACUUGCCUGCCAGCCUCCUGAGCCUGGUGUCGGAUCCUGUGCCAAAGGAAAAGGUUCUGCUGCCCAAGGCACUGCGGCAGACACUGCUGGAGAAGGAUUUUAGAAAUGCUGAGAACCAUCAUCUUGAAGUUGUUGAGGAGUUUCUCCUGGCUCUGCAGUCUGACAAGGACCAAGAUAAUUCAUUUUUUUGCUUCCUUAGAA